rnacentral:rRNA from 1 species
UACGUAGGGUGCGAGCGUUAAUCGGAAUUACUGGGCGUAAAGCGUGCGCAGGCGGUUUUGUAAGCCAGAUGGGAAAGCCCCGGGCUCAACCUGGGAAUGGCAUUUGGGACUGCAAGGCUGGAGUUUGGCAGAGGAGACUGGAAUUCCUGGUGUAGCAGUGAAAUGCGUAGAUAUCAGGAGGAAUACCGAUGGCGAAGGCAGGUCUCUUGGCUAUAACUGACGCUCAUGCACGAAAGCGUGGGGAGCAAACAGG